rnacentral:lncRNA from 1 species
AUGGCGGACACCCGGGAAGAAUCGGAACCCCUUCUGAGCCGGGCCCGCGGCGGCAGCGGCCGCGACUGCCCAAGGGGCGUACCCGCUUGCAGCAGCGUCCAAGAGAGCCCUGGUGCCGCAGCCAGGCGGGAUCUGUGCUUGGACCAGGCUGUGGUCCUCAUCGAAGACGCCAUCCAGUAUCGCUCCAUCAACCACCGCAUGGACGCCCGGUCUCUGUGGCUCUACAGGCGGUACUACUCCGGCAGCAGCCAGUGGAUUCUGAGCUUCACCAUUUUCUUGAUCCUGGCUUUGGCCUUCGUUGAGACCCCUUCCUCGCUCACGCGCACCUCGGACGUGCGCUACCGCCUGGCCCCCUGGGAGCCGCCCUGUGGCCUGACCGAGGGCGUCGAGGCGCUCUGCCUGCUGGUCUUCGCGGCCGACGUCUCUGUGAAGAGCUACCUGAUUGGGUGGGCCCAGUUCCGGAGGAACCCCUGGCUGCUGGCCUACCUCGUGGUGCUGGUUGUGUCUCUCCUGGACUGGAUCGUGUCGCUGAGUCUCGUCUGCCAGGAGCCCCUGCGAGUGCGCCGGCUGCUGCGCCCCUUCUUCCUGAUGCAGAAUUCCUCCAUGAUGAAGAAGACGCUCAAGUGCAUCAGGCGCUCGCUGCCGGAGAUGGCCAGCGUCGGGCUGCUGCUGGCCGUGCACCUGUGUCUCUUCACCGUGUUUGGGAUGCUGCUCUUCACCGGCGAGAAGCAGGACGCCGGGCAGGACCGGGAGCGGCUGACCUACUUCUUCAACCUGCCUGAGGCGCUGACCACCCUCCUGGUGCUGCUGACCACCGCCAACAAUCCCGACGUGAUGAUCCCUGUGUAUUCCAGGAACCGAGCCUACGCCAUCUUCUUCAUAGCCUUCACCCUGAUUGGGAGCUUGUUUUUGAUGAACCUGAUGACGGCCAUCAUCUACAACCAGUUCCGGGGCUACCUGAUGAUGUCUCUCCAGACCUCACUGUUGCGGAGACGCCUGGGGACCCGGGCUGCCUACAAGGUCCUCUCGUCCGUGACAGCAGAGGGAGAAACCCACCCCGAGCGACUUGGGGUGAAGCCUGAGGAUUUCUUGCAAGUGCUCCAGAAAGUCCAGCUGGACAGUGACCACAAACAGGCCAUCACAGAGAAGCUGCAUUCCCGUGGCGGCGGCCUGCUAUCAACUGACGAGUUUCAGAAACUCUUUGACGAGUUUGAAAAGAGGGUGGUUAAAGAGCACCCGCCGCGGCCCGAGUACCGGUCUCCGUUUCUGCGGACCACCCAGUUCCUCUUCGGCCACCACUACUUUGACUACCUGGGCAACCUCAUGGCCCUCGGAAACCUCGUGACCAUCUGCGUGUUCCUGGUAUUGGACGCACACGUGCUGCCCAAGGACCGUGACGACUUCGUGCUAGGGAUUCUCAACUGCAUCUUCAUCCUGUACUACCUGCUGGAGAUGCUGCUCAAGGCGUUCUCUCUGGGCCUGCAGGGCUACCUGUCCUACUCCAGCAACGUGUUUGACGGGCUCCUCACCAUCGUCCUGCUGGAAGCCGGCAAUGCUGGGUCUGCUGUCGCUGUGGGACAUGACGCGGCUGGUGAACGUGCUCAUCGUCUUCCGCUUCCUACGCAUCAUCCCCAGCAUGAAGCUGAUGUCCCUGGUGGCCAGCACCAUCCUGGACCUGAUCAAGAACAUGCGGGCCUUCGGCGGGAUCCUGGUGGUGAUUUACUACGUCUUUGCCAUCAUUGGCAUCAGCCUGUUCCGGGGCGUCGUCGUGGCUCCUAGAAACAGCAGCCUAGCCUCUGUU